CUCAGGCAAAAGCUGCUUACCUACAAUUCAGCUUACCAUAAUCUCCUCCAGGACAGGGCAGAUGGCUGAAUUGGUGUCAUGUUGCAUAUGAAGUUUCGCUAUUAAUAUAGCUCUCAAUUCAUAUAUUAUGCAGCGUACAUAUAACUGCAGGCAUGCAGGCAUGCAGUUAAACCACAGGCUGAAAACACCUUCCACCGCUCUAAUGUAGGAUGACAGUACAUUAUCCUUCCAUCACACUUCUGUGGCUUUUCUUAGGCUGGAAAUCUCACACGUGACAUAAACAGUAUUAAAAUCCCAAGGAGAUUUCCCUCCGUGAAAAUCUGAAACAGCCCUUUUAGCAAGAACCCUGGCAUCCUACCAUUUUAACCUACUACCCACAUCGCAAUUUCACACACGACCUCCUCCCACCUGGCCUCAGCCUCUCCCCCCUUCUCCGCAACCAACCAACACACACACACACACAGCUUUCUAUCAGCAUCAAGGCGCGGGGGCCAAGCGCGAUUCUGCCCACCCUUCCGCGCCAUCCACCCGCGGCUCCCUCCAUCCUCAGCGGCGGGCAUCUUGCAAAGAAGACCAAGCCAGCUCCAAGUCCCCCAUCCUCUUUUUCAAAAGAUCUCCCUGUGUCGGGACGGGCGACCCCGAAAGCCAACCUUUCCCCGCGACUGCCCGGCUUGCUCUUCUCCCAUCCUCCCCGCCCUGAUCCUCCCUCUUCCAGACGAGGAGGCUCGCCAGCUCUCUUCUCUCUCUCUCCAGCCAUUCCGCUCCCCGGCUCGACACUUCCCCACAGGAUCACCUGCCCUUUUUUUUUUUUUUUAACGUUACGACUCAGGAUCGCGACGGUGCCCGGGCGGCGGCGGCGGGUGCCUUUAAGUUUCUUCCCAGCACUGUUCUUCCCGGCUGCGGGCAAUUGUGUCCCCCGCGCUCCCAGGGAAAGAGGCCUUCGAGGGCUGCCUCUUUCCCGAGCAACUCCCGGCAAGCUCGCUCCAAUCCCCGCCGCUGCUUCUUUGAUUUAUUUAUUUUCCCCCCCUCACCCUUUCCAAGCUGGCCCUUCGCCCCGCGCGCUGCUUCUUCCCCGGCCGCCCGACCCAC
rnacentral:lncRNA from 1 species